rnacentral:rRNA from 1 species
UACGUAGGGGGCAAGCGUUGUCCGGAUUUAUUGGGCGUAAAGAGCGUGUAGGCGGCCAUGCAGGUCAGCUGUGAAAACUCGAGGCUCAACCUCGAGACGUCGGUUGAAACCGUAUGGCUAGAGUCCGGAAGAGGAGAGUGGAAUUCCCGGUGUAGCGGUGAAAUGCGCAGAUAUCGGGAAGAACACCCGUGGCGAAGGCGGCUCUCUGGGACGGUACUGACGCUGAGACGCGAAAGCGUGGGGAGCGAACAGG